rnacentral:sRNA from 1 species
GUCUAGCACUUCCCCGAGGGUGAAGCCAGUGCGGAAUCUCAGCCGAUUUCCUGCACUGGUUUC